CUGUUGACUCGGUGGUCGACCCGCUCCGCGAGUUCGCCAAGGACAGCAUCCGCCUCGUCAAGCGCUGCCACAAGCCCGACCGCAAGGAGUUCACCAAGGUCGCCGCGCGCACUGCGAUCGGCUUCAUCGUCAUGGGAUUCGUCGGCUUCUUUGUCAAGCUCAUCUUCAUCCCCAUCAACAACAUCAUCGUCGGCUCCGGCUGAUCCAUGCCCCUCAGGAGUGGACAAUGGCGUCUCCGCCUUGGAGGCGCAGCUCUGGCAUCCGGAAAGCAGUUUGUUUAGGUGA
rnacentral:misc_RNA from 1 species